rnacentral:rRNA from 1 species
CCUACGGGUGGCUGCAGUGGGGAAUCUUGCGCAAUGGGCGAAAGCCUGACGCAGCCAUGCCGCGUGAAUGAUGAAGGUCUUAGGAUUGUAAAAUUCUUUCACCGGGGACGAUAAUGACGGUACCCGGAGAAGAAGCCCCGGCUAACUUCGUGCCAGCAGCCGCGGUAAUACGAAGGGGGCUAGCGUUGCUCGGAAUUACUGGGCGUAAAGGGCGCGUAGGCGGGUCGUCAAGUUGGGGGUGAAAGCCCGGGGCUCAACCUCGGAAUUGCCUUCAA